rnacentral:tmRNA from 1 species
GGGGGCGAACUGGGUUCGACCGGGUUGUCGAAGCGUGAGUGGCGUGUCGUGGUUGAUCGGUGGCCCACGUAAAAAGCCGAUCACACACCUUCAAUUGCCGAAGGUAACUACGCUCUCGCUGCCUAGUUUAGGCUAGUUCCAGCGACGUAGCCUGGUCGCUCGCCGGAAGCUUCCAACGCAACGUAUAACCCCCUCCGGACCGCUGUGAUUCACCGCCCAGUACGGUCACAGUUAAAAAAGUUCUGAGCUAGUGCGGCGGUAGCCGGGUCCGUGAGGGCGCCCGCCGUGCGAAAUCAAAUCCACGGGACACACACGUAGAAGCUCCCGUGGAGCGAUCGCGGGACGCGGGUUCGAUUCCCGCCGCCUCCAC